CACCUCUUCACUCAUACCAUACUUUAUGCAAAUGAGUAUUAUAGGCUUCAUGAAAGCCUUGCAAAAUGAAGCAUCUUGUAUAUAGCCAGACUGUCAUAUUGUAAUUUGCAGUGCCUGUGAAGAGAUGGCUAAACUAAACAAGCUAGCAAUUAUUUGGUUAUGAAAUUUGGUAUAAAAAUAGCAUGUAAAGGUUCAGUAAAUUAGAAAUGGCAAGUUAUACUGAUGCACUUUGUAAAAUAACAGUUGUUCAGAAUCUGAUCUCAGGGACAGGCUAAUACUGAUGUAACUGAGAUGAGAAGCUGCCCUUUUGUUAUAAUCUCAUUAUUAUACCUAUUGUUUUGGGAAAUGCUGUACAGCAUAAACACACACUGCAAUGUCAUAACCAUUUUAAUGCAUCCAUAACUGACUAUCUGGUUGCAUUGUGGUGCAUUCUUUAUCCACCUCUAAUAAUAGUUUAUAGUAAAGCUUGUGACUGGUAGUUUUAAUGAGAAAUUAAACACUGUAAAACAUCAAAAUAAUUCAAUGCUUACUAGUAAGAAUUUUACCAUGAACAUUUCUCUGUAAAUUGUAGCCUAGAACAAAGAAACGUCACUUAACUUGCAUGUGUUUAACAAGGCUGAAAUGUCUGCUGAGUUGGCCAAGGCAAAAUGUUUUAAAUUUUACUCCUCUAAAUGGGGGGCCAUCAUUUUUAGCCUUUCUCCUCCUCUUGAUGACAUUAACUUGUACUAGCAAAGUUGUUCCUGUAACAGGUAACUUAUCAAAUCUUUAUCAGUUACAGAAUAUGUAGUGAAAACAGGAGACCAUAUGACUGAUCAGCUCAAACGCCAGAGGAGCUUUUGGAGAAUUGGAUCUCUUUCUAUAUGAGACAUCUGUGUAUCUUAGUGCCACAGAUGGGAUUGUUACAAAGGCCUAAUUACUAUUUUUAAGGGAUGGAACUCAAAACCAUCAGAAAAUCUCAUGUCUCUAUUGUAUGAAGACUGAACAGAUCAACAUGAAAUGACUUCCGGCAGCAAUUGUUGGACAUUAAACAGCAAGGCUGUGUUCAUUAUGGAAGAUAUCUCGCUGCUGAGGGUGAGCAGGGAAUCAAGGGAGGGUCUUCUCCAAGACUGCGGCUUCUGCCCUGGCCCUUAUGAGGCUCGCCUGUGUGCAGCAAUGGUUCCUCCCCCUCUCCCUUCCAGUAAUGGCAGAGCGAUGCAGGAAAGUUACCAUUAAUGGGGCAAGAAACAAAGCAGCUCUGCCAAAGAACCUGUGGCAGUGGAUUGCCCAGUAUCUCCAUGAGAGUUUCGUGGAGAUCUCUGAGGCAGAGGGAGUCUAUCAACAGCCUGUUCUGCCACUCAAACUAGGCAUGUAGUGGUAUGUGCAUCAUACAGACACAAGCCAGCUUUCUGCAACCCUCCUGUCCCCAAUAACUCUCUCCAGCGAUUCCCAGAAUCGAAUCAACUUACCAGGGGCCUCCUCUCCUGUUUUGCGCUUCACCGAGAUCCAACAGCUGUGACUGGCUAGCCUCCUCCAGGGCAGAAAAGAGCUCCUGGCUGCAUGCAUCUCUGACCUCCGAGUCAUCUUUUGCCUCUGGGUCUCCCUUCCCCUCCACAUCCUCAUCCAAGAUUUCCUCCUCCUGGCUUUGUCCACUCUUGACUGGCACACGAGCCACUGAAGUAUCCACAGUGGCCUUUGCAGUGGAGGUGGGGUCACCACCAAGUAUAGUUUCCAGCUCUUUGUAGAACCGGCAGCUCAUGGGUGUGGCACCAGAGUGGUGGUUUGCCUCCCACGCCAUGUGUUCUGCAGCUCCAUCACUUUAACCCUGCACUGCAAUGUGUCCCGCUCAUGGCCCCUUUCUGUCAUGCAAUGUGAAAUCUGACCAUAGGUAUCAAAAUUCCUAUGGCUGGAGCACAGCUGGGACUGGACGGCCUCCUCUCCCCAAAUGCUGAUGAGGUCCAGCAGCUCGGCAUUGCUCCAAGUAGGGGAUGGCCAUAUGCAUGAAGCAGGCAUGGCCACUUGGAAAGAUGCACUAAGAUAACUGCACACAUCACCGAGCAAACAGGAAGGGGACUUUCAAAAUUCCAAAGGCAUUUCAGGGGUGGAGAUGAUGAUUGGUCACUAGAGAGCAGGGCAGUAAAGUUCAAACCGAUGACCAGAGAGGCAAGAACAGGCAUUGUGGGACACCUCCCGGAAGCCAAUUGCAGCGCUGAAAUCGACCAGG